UACGGGGGGGGCAAGCGUUGUUCGGAAUUACUGGGCGUAAAGGGCUCGUAGGCGGCCAACUAAGUCAGACGUGAAAUCCCUCGGCUUAACCGGGGAACUGCGUCUGAUACUGGAUGGCUAGAGGUUGGGAGAGGGAUGCGGAAUUCCAGGUGUAGCGGUGAAAUGCGUAGAUAUCUGGAGGAACAACGGUGGCGAAGGCGGCAUCCUGGACCAAUUCUGAAGCUGAGUGAGCGAAAGCCAGGGGAGCAAACAGG
rnacentral:rRNA from 1 species